CGACAGUCUUUAGAGAAUUUGAAUCAUAGGAUAUUGAUAAAUAGAGGGAUAAUUAAUCUUGAGGUACUAAGGGCUGGAUUAUAGAAGUUUGGUACCAAAUUUACCCAAUUAGAAAUAACAGUUGAUGGAGCUGGUUGCUGGUAUGUUAAUCUGAUAGCCCCGACGUUAAACAAUAUCUUCUUUUGUCCUGUAUAUGCACACUUACAUUCUUCUUCUUGCAAUUGUAUUUAUUAACUAGCUUAUUGCCUUCACAUAUACACUCAUGGAUGAUUUUUAUUUAAGAGCAUAACUUCAUGAAUGGGAGAGGUUAUAAAGUUUACUCACAUAUUCUGGUUUCGGAAACAAAAUAAGAAAGGCCAAUCUGCAGGACCUUGCUGUCCAUAGCGGGGGUGAUAUAGUCAAAGGCUCUAUUCGCUUGCUCAUUUCACAAUGGCUAUGAAGUAAUGUGGUGCACACUAUACUCUAUUAAAUGGGAAUUUACUCGUAAUCUACAUUUACAUGCUGCUUCGGCAAUUAUCAGUGUGAUAGUGUGCGCUUAGCGACGCCAGAGAAGUGAGAAAGUCCGCCGUUUGGUGUGGGCCAGAAUACUCACGCAUCUCUACGCUUAUUUCACUUGUUGUGUUGUCUCCAAUUGUUGCAAUGCUGUCAUCUCAUUCGAUUUUGUUUUUCAGAGUUGAGAAAUGAUGGAUAAAUAACAGAAUUAUGUUCAUAUUUUCAUUAGUUUGUGCAAUUCAUUUGGAGAAAAAAGUUGUUACGGUUAAUUCAUUAGUUUGUUAUAGUGAUAUUUUGAGCAGAACGGAAAAGAUUUGGUGCGGAUCUGAAUGUGCUGAUGAAAUUACGGUCCAAUAGAGGAACCAAUGUGCUCCUGGUCUGAUCAAUAAUUGUGAAGAUCUUUUUUGGGUGGUCAUUCAUGGGAUGGACUUCACCUUCAGGUCAAUGGUCUACUUUCUAGCAUGAAGCAGAGGAUUAUAACUACCGGGAAGCAUAGGAUGUUGUUCAUGAAUUCGACAGUAAUUUUGGUGAGGAUGUGAAAUCCCUCCUUCUGCUCAUUCCAAUCUUUCAAAUUGAUUUAUUCAUUGUUGUACCUUUCCUUGAUCUUCUCUUCAUUCCGAUCAAAUUUCUCACCGCUUCUCCUGAUGGUCCAGCCAAUUAAUAAGAGAAAAGAGGGAGAAGAAAAAUGUAUGACACAAGAAGAGAUACCUCUACAAGCAAUGGAAAUAGGUAUUCCUUAUAUUCUAGAGAUCAUGAUCAUGAAAAAUCUUGAAACAUGUACUGACAAGAGAAAGGAGGAAGUGAAGAAAAACUCUUCACAUGACAUCAUGAUAAGCUCUGUUCUGUUGUAAACAUGUUUGUAGUAUCAUUUAUCAUCAAGCAUUUAAAGUGUUAUUAAGAGUAAAAUGACAUUCUCUAUGUGCUCUAGGUAAAUUUUCAAUGGAUACACAAUUCUUGUUUUUUCAUAUUUGGUCAAGCAGAAUCAUGUAUGAGAAAAUAAAGCUCUUUCCUGUAUUCGUGUUAUAUCUGGGAAGAUUAUUACUGGUUUUGCUACCAUAACAUGCAAAAUUUGGUGUGUCUGUGUGUGUGUGUGUCUGUGUGUGUGUGUGUGUGUGUGUGUGUGUGAGAGAGAGAGAGAGAGAGAGAGAGAGAGAGUCCAUGGGGUUGUGAUAUCGGAUGUUAAAGAAUAUGGCCUCUAAGACGUACGACUACUUAAUAGGUGAGCUCCAACCAAAGAAUUGGUACUUCAACAUGGAAUUUAUCACCUUCACAAAAAGAUGACAUAAUGUCAUUUUUUAGCAUUUUUUGCUUUUAUGUGUAUAUUGGAUUAUUUGCAAGCUAUGGUAUUAUUAUUUUUAAAUAAUGAAUUCCAUGCAAAGCUCUGUACCCGCACUUGAGUAGGAGAAAGUUAAGCAGAACAUAGUAUAUGAUUUUCCAAUGACGAAUAAAUUUAAGUUGACAAUGUUAUUGAUGGUUGGCACUGCUAGCCCCAAUGCCCUUGCUCUUAGAAGAUCAUGACUCAAUCUUAUUUUUGGUUGCAGCUAGAAAGAGGAUGUUGAUUGGUGAAGGAGUUCUUGCAACUAGCAAGGUAUUCUGCUUAUAACCUGAUUGUGAACUUUCUUCAAAGAUCAUCACUCAAAGUGAAGCAUAUUCAACAACUCUCCUAGGAAGUUCUCUUCUGUUCCUUUCAUAUUUUAUAUCUACUGGUAGCAUGGCGGUUAUAGCUCUCAUGUGUAUGGACUACUAUUGAUGGCUAUCCUUGCUUUUCUUCAUGGUUUCGUAUUAAAAUUGUUGUGUAACUGUUUCAUCUUUCACUACAAACAUUGCCUUUUUCAAAUCCAGUGAGCAUUCAUGUAAAACAGUGGCCACUCACAUCAGUGGAGUAAAUUAUGUAAGAUAAGCUACAUUGUCUAUAACCUACUUUCAUUUCAGAUGAAACAUGUCCUUUUUGACAGUGGCAAAGCCACAUGUAAGCUGGG
rnacentral:lncRNA from 1 species